GUUGUGUGUUUUCUUAUUUC
rnacentral:miRNA from 1 species